AAGCAAAACAUGGCAGUCGAACGAGAGACCUUCGGGUCUCUAGUGGCGAACGGGUGAGUAACACGUAGGGAACCUGCCCGCGCACCGGGAAUACGCUCUGGAAACGGAGAACAAAUCCCGAUGUACAGGAAGGAGGCAUCUUCUUUCUGUGAAACAUCCUUUAGGGGAUGGGGCGCGGAUGGACCUGCGGUGCAUUAGUUGGUUGGCGGGGUAAAGGCCCACCAAGACGAUGAUGCAUAGCCGGCCUGAGAGGGCGGACGGCCACAUUGGGACUGAGACACGGCCCAGACUCCUGCGGGAGGCAGCAGUAGGGAAUUUUCGUCAAUGGGCGCAAGCCUGAACGAGCGAUGCCGCGUGAGUGAAGAAGGCCUUCGGGUCGUAAAGCUCUGUUGCGGGGGAAAAAAGGCAGCAUCAGGAAAUGGGUGCUGACUGAUGGUGCCCCGCCAGAAAGUCACGGCUAACUACGUGCCAGCAGCCGCGGUAAUACGUAGGUGGCGAGCGUUAUCCGGAAUGAUUGGGCGUAAAGGGUGCGCAGGCGGUCCUGCAAGUCUGGAGUGAAACGCAUGAGCUCAACUCAUGCAUGGCUUUGGAAACUGGAGGACUGGAGAGCAGGAGAGGGCGGUGGAACUCCAUGUGUAGCGGUAAAAUGCGUAGAUAUAUGGAAGGACACCAGUGGCGAAGGCGGCCGCCUGGCCUGUUGCUGACGCUGAGGCACGAAAGCGUGGGGAGCANAUAGGAUUAGAUACCCUA
rnacentral:rRNA from 1 species